GAGAGGAGAAAGAUUAAUUGAGUUUUAGAUUUAGAAAAGAGAGAAAAGGGGAAUAAGUAGGAAAGGGGAAAGGACUUAUCUUCUCCGGCAGAGACGGCGGCGACGCGGCGGAAGCAGCGGCACGAGCGGCGGCCCUUCGGGAUGCCGUUGCUCGACCGGCCGAGGGGGAGAAAGAAGAGCAGGCAGCGGUGCUGUUGAGGUCGUCGCGGCGGCACUGUGGUCGCCGGGGUGACUGCCCACCGCGAGCAGGAAGAGAGAGAGAGAUACCGAGAGGGGAUGGGCCGUGAGGAGGCGCGGCUGCCGUCGAUUCACCGGGACAGGAGCAGGACGACGGCGAUAUGCCGGACCUUCGCCGAUCUCGGGCGGCGGCGGCAGAAACGAGGAGAGGGAGAGAGAUGAGCUGUGUGUGUGUGCGUUUCUUGAAGUGAGAGGGAGAGACGUGAGAGAGGCGAGAGAGAUGAGUGUUGUGUGUGCUGAGUGUGUGUGUUUGUGUAUAUAUGUUAGUAUUAGAUUUUUUUUUUUAAUUUGGGCUUAAGCCCUAUAAUGAGGAUGGGCCGAAAAUUUUAAAAAAAAAAGAGUGGGCCGAUUUUAUUUUAUUUCUGUUGGGCCCAUUUUGCCUUUAAAUCUGAUGGGUUUUUAUUUAAUAGGUUUAGGCCCAAUUUUAAUUAAGUUUUGAGCUGUUAUUUAAAUAUAGGCCUACGAAUUUUGGCCUUAAUUCUAUAAAAAAAAAUGUUUGAUUUUUCACUAAAUUAUUUAGUGAAUUUAAAUCUCUUGAUUUAAAUUUUAAUAUUGGGAGUUGGAUUAUUUAUUCUAAAUGAAGUCCAUUCUAUUAUUUAAAUUAUUAAUGGACUUUAAAGCAAAUAUUUUGGGAUUAAGCCCCAUUUAUUACAUGAUAAAAUUAUUUUCAAAGCUUACGAGUAUGGAUUUUUUUUAAUGGUUAAAAUGUUUUAUUUCAUCUCAAUGGAUUUUAAAAUGUUUUAUUAUUUAUAAAUGAAUAAUGGAAUUUCUUAUUUAUUUACAUAAAAAAAAAUGAAAUGUAUAGAAUAUUAUAAAUAUGGUUUCUUUUAAAAGAAAAAGGAUUAAAUUAUUUUAUGAGUAAUUCCAUUAUAAUGGAAUUAAAAUGUCCUAUUAGAAUGGCUUCAUGUUUUAAAAAAAUAUUGAGACUAUUUAUGUGGAAUUGUGUUAUAGAAUGAUUAAGUAUAUGUAUUUACUUUAUCAAAUGAGCUUGGGAUUUAAUUGAGAUAUUAAAUUGCUAAGCAUAUGUUUAUAAAUGAUUUAUUUAUUUAAAGUGAUGAAAAUGUGNUUUGAAUCCGUUUGUAGAUUUAAAGGAUUAUUGAGUAGUCAAUAAUUAUUAUUUUCGGAUUAUAACUGACUUAGCAAAGUCAUGUUAUUUAAUUUAUAUACGAUAGAAAUAGUAUUUUCUAUUAUUUAAUUGAAGUCAUGAUUAAUUUUUCGACUUAUAAAACGAGUUAUAAAAUAUGUAAUUUGUAGAGAGUUAUAACGAAGCUUCGUUAUAUGGAAACCCGGAAUUAGUAUUACAAAUACGUUAUCAUAUACUUUUCAUUUCCACAUACAUCUAUCUCUUAAAUAAAUUGAUGGUAUUGGAAACACUCAUCAUAUGCAAAUUAUUCCACUAAUUCCACUAAUUCCACUAAACACUCUUUACACUCAUCAUUGCCGGCCAUCUUCUACACUCAUUCCACUAAUAAUCAUUAUUCCACUACCUCCCACUACUACACCCUUUUUCCCCACCAAUACACCUAACUCUCCACACACUUCAUUUUUUUUAUUUCUACACCACUAUAUUCCAUAUUCAGUACUACAUCUUGCAGAUUCCUCAUUAAGAAAUCCUCUCUCUCUAAUCUUCUAAAUUACCAUUUUCUUUCCUCCUACUCCUCACGGGUCCUUCAAAGAAAUUAUCAAGUUUGUUUCAAGUUCCAAAUCAAGAAUCAAGGUGUGUAAAUUUUGUUUAUUUCCUCCAUUUAAUUUUUCGAGGAUUACAUUCUAACACCUAGCAUCAUUUAUGCAGAAGCCACAAAUCCUCAUCUGCCUCUUCAAGGUUAUUUCCAGCAUAAACAACUUCUUUUAGAUUAUUAUUGCUUCAAUUACAUCAUCUUAUCAAGCAUCAGAGGACCACCAACAAACAAACACACACUCAUAAUCAUUAUUUUCACCUAACUAUUACAAUUACAAGGAUUUCAAGAUCUGAUAAAAAGAAAUGAUGAAAGAACAGAAUUUCUAAACAAAAACCCUAACUUUCUAUAUGUGAAUCUGGACUGAAAUUGAGCCUUCUUGUGUCUUUAUUGUGUGUGACCGGGGACGGAGGGAGGAGUGAGAGCAGCCGACGGCUGCUCAGGGCCGGCGACGGCGACGGCUCGGCGGCAAGCCGCCGCCUUUUCUUUUUUCUGUCAGACAUUGGGAGGAGAGGAGAAAGAUUAAUUAAGUUUUAGAUUUAGAAAAGAGAGAAAAGGGGAAUAAGUAGGAAAGGGGAAAGGACUUAUCUUCUCCGGCAGAGACGGCGGCGACGCGGCGGAAGCAGCGGCACGAGCGGCGGCCCUUCGGGAUGCUGUUGCUCGACCGGCCGAGGGGGAGAAAGAAGAGCAGGCAGCGGUGCUGUUGAGGUCGUCGCGGCGGCACUGUGGUCGCCGGGGUGACUGCCCACCGCGAGCAGGAAGAGAGAGAGAGAUACCGAGAGGGGAUGGGCCGUGAGGAGGCGCGGCUGCCGUCGAUUCACCGGGACAGGAGCAGGACGACGGCGAUAUGCCGGACCUUCGCCGAUCUCGGGCGGCGGCGGCAGAAACGAGGAGAGGGAGAGAGAUGAGCUGUGAGUGUGUGUGUGCGUUUCUUGAAGUGAGAGGGAGAGACGUGAGAGAGGCGAGAGAGAUGAGUGUUGUGUGUGCUGAGUGUGUGUGUUUGUGUAUAUAUGUUAGUAUUAGGUUUUUUUUAAAUUUGGGCUUAAGCCCUAUAAUGAGGAUGGGCCGAAAUUUUUUUAAAAAAAACGAGUGGGCCGAUUUUAUUUUAUUUCUGUUGGGCCUAUUUUGCCUUUAAAUCUGAUGGGUUUUUAUUUAAUAGGUUUAGGCCCAAUUUUAAUUAAGUUUUGAGCUGUUAUUUAAAUAUAGGCCUAC
rnacentral:lncRNA from 1 species